UGCCUCCCAACCAGCUACACCUUCCAGGAGGUGCAGGAGCACACAGACCAGAUCUGGAAGUUCCAGCGCCACGACCUGAUUGAGGAGUACCACGGCCGGCCCCCGGCCCCUCCCCCACUCAUCCUCCUCAGCCACCUGCAGCUCCUGAUCAAGAGGAUUGUCCUGAAGAUCCCCGCCAAGAGGCACAAGCAGCUCAAGAACAAGCUGGAGAAGAAUGAGGAGGCAGCCCUCCUGUCCUGGGAGCUCUACCUGAAGGAGAAUUACCUGCAGAACCAACAGUACCAGCACAAACAGCGGCCAGAGCAGAAGAUCCAGGACAUCAGUGAGAAAGUGGACACCAUGGUGGAUCUGUUGGACAUGGACCGUGUGAAGAGAUCAGGCUCCACAGAGCAGAGGCUGGCCUCCCUUGAGGAACAGGUGACUCAGAUGGGCAGAUCUUUGCACUGGAUCGUGACGACCCUGAAGGACAGUGGCUUUGGCUCAGGGGCCGGUGCACUGACCCUGGCAGCCCAAAGGGCCUUCGACGAGCCAGAUGCUGAGCUGAGUAUCAGGAAGAAAGGAGAGGAGGGAGGAGAUGGCUAUCAUGUGAGCGCCCGGCACCUCCUCUACCCUGAUGCCCGCAUCAUGCGCUUCCCCGUGCCUAAUGAGAAGGUGCCUUGGGAGGCAGAGUUUCUGAUCUACGACCCUCCGUUUUACACAGCUGAGAAGAAGGAUGCGACUCUCACAGACCCUGUGGGAGA
rnacentral:lncRNA from 1 species